AGGUGCUGCAUGGCUGUCGUCAGCUCGUGUCGUGAGAUGUUCGGUUAAGUCCGGCAACGAGCGCAACCCUCAUCUUCAGUUACUAACAGGUUAUGCUGAGGACUUUGGAGAAACUGCCGUUGGAAAAGCGGAGGAAGGCGAGGAUGACGUCAAGUCCUCAUGGCCCUUAUGGGCUGGGCUACACACGUGCUACAAUGGUAAUUACAAUAGGCGCGAAAAGGCAACUUUGAGCUAAUCUUCAAAAAUUAUCUUAGUUCGGAUUGUUCUCUGCAACUCGAGAGCAUGAAGUUGGAAUUGCUAGUAAUCGUGGAUCAGCAUGCCACGGUGAAUACGUUCCCGGGUCUUGUACACACCGCCCGUCACA
rnacentral:rRNA from 1 species